UUUCUGGUAGAAUUGCUCGUUCGGACUAUUUUAAUCGAAACACACCCUUCGAUUUGUUGUGCAAACUUUUCCACUAGAAACAUUACUUAAUAAAAUAAAAUAUGGCCACCCCAAGAAAAUUUCCAUUAGUUACCUUGAACUACUGUUAAAGGUUCACUUUUUGUGUUUUUAUAGAAGUACUAAUUAUUUUUCCAUUAUGAAAGAAAUUAUGUAUAAUAAUUCCAUGCAUAUCUAUUACCUAUGUACGCUUAUAAAAAAAACAAAAGUUCAUACAUUAGACGGGCGUGCCACUGUUGUACGUGGGAACUCGGAAA